GUCAGGAUGGCCGAGUGGUCUAAGGCGCCAGAUUAAGGUUCUGGUCUCGAAUCGGGCGUGGGUUCAAAUCCCACUCUUGACACCA
rnacentral:tRNA from 1 species